UAUGCCUUGUAAUGAAGCUAAGACAAAAGCUAAGACAAAAAUGGACAAUUUAUGUUCAGAGAUUUACACUUGAGAAAAAAUAUAUACAGAACCUGCAACUCAAAACACAUUGCAACAUGUUUUGAAUUAGCAUUAGAAUACGUACAUGAUUUUGCAAUGCAUGGCAACAUGGGUGGUCCUUAAAUACUAUUGUUAGUGUGCAAAGAGGAAAUGAGAACCAGGUGAUAGUAAUCUCAAGUCUCAUUAGUAUUCUGGUGGUGAGGUGACUGUGUACUGAGAUUAAACGUGACAUGCCUUUUGCGGUCUAACAUAUAUGGGCUAUUUAUUUUAUUUUCUUUUUUUUUUUUUCUCUAGAUGACCUCACUGUGACAAAAGGAUGAUGCAUGAGGUACACCAGAGACUCUACAGCAGAGCAAAAGGGAAUUGGAGCAAACAGUAGAAGGCUGUCCAGCUGCAGAUAGAGUAGGUAUAAAGGAGAGUCCCAGAGAUGGAGAACCUCCUUUGCUCUCACUCGUCUCACACUGAAUGGAGCGCGUCACGGUAUCACCACUUAUACAUCUUCUCAAUGGUUUUCCCUACCCGACCUUACCCACGACUUCCACUAGGGGUCCUUGUGCUCUAUUCCAAAUCACCCCACUGGUGAACUGGUAUCUCACCAUCACUCGUUUGGUUGGAUAGCACAGAACCUCAGAUAUCCCAGCCGGCCUUUGCAAGAAAAUGGUUUGUUCAUCUAACUUACCUUUUAAACCAUGUGCUAUCAUGGACACUAUACCUAAAUUAAAGACAUUGAAAGGAAAUGGAGUUCUAUUGCAUGGCAUGUCUUAGUUCAUUUGCAUUAAAUCACUUUGCCUUAUUAUGUUCCAAACAACUUUUGCCUACCCUUGGGGAAAAUAUGCAUAAAAUCAGUUCAGUUGCCUCAUAUAGCAAGCAGGUUCAAAGAAUCCUUGUCACAGUGCUGCGAGAAAUCUUGCGGAGACCACAAAGAGCUGUAAAUUACAGCUGUCAGUGGCAUCUCUAGUUAAACCUCAAGAUGCUUCCUGCUGCACACUGGCAAAGCCAGGUAGCCGCUGAAUGGGGUUCACACAUCAACUUCAAUUUUAAGACAAAUUUACCCAAACAGCUCCACUGGAAUGACAUGCACAGAUUACCAAACUUGACAAAAUUCUUCUAACAAGUCCAUAUCAUGCUCAUUGAGAAUCAAAGCUAAGUAUACAGUAUGUGCAAGCCAGCUUCCUGGCACGCAGUAAGGCUCAUAAUUGGCAUAAUAACACCAUCACUACCACAGCAGGAUCCUAAAAUCUCAUUUGGCCACCAAAGAGGGACUCGGAAUAUAACUGCAGUCACCUUAGAUAAUCACUGUUCUGAGCUUCAAAAACAGUCUGGUUACUUCUACAGAAAAUAGCAGAACCUGGCUGACCCUAUAGGAGAUGUAUUCUUCUGACUGUGCUGUUUAUUUACAGCGAAGCUCACUCAGUAUUCUCAGUGGCGGAAGGGAACAGGUCUGGAUUUCUUCUAGAAACUUUAAACAACUUGAUGCCAAACUCCAAUAACAUUGAGUUACAUAAGAGAAGGUAAAAAGUGUAAUUCUUGCUCGUCAAAGAUGUUCUAAAUGGCUUUAAAGUUGUGAAAAAAGUGUACUAGGCUACUAAAAAACCAACACGUCUCCUCUCUCAGCAAUAUGAUUUGUAUUGGCCCAUUAUCAUUGAACAGUAAGCCUGGUUUUCAUUAUCAUCCCUGGCACAACUCCACCAUAAUUUGAUUUUCAAAUUUCAUUCUCUUUAGGAAGUGUAAUUGGUUAAAAAAAAAACAAUGCUAAGAAAGUAUCUGGAAAUGGUCAACUAUCCCAUAAUAAAGAAAUAAAUGGGAAAAUUUAUAAAAUUAAAAGAAAUGAAGUUGCAUAUGCCAGGGGGUUUGUUUGUUUGAAAAAUCUGUGGUUUGUGCUGUACAAAAUACAAACCAGAUGAAAAAACGAAGUGAGAAAGCGAUACUCUUUAACUGAAUAUACAUAAUACAGCUUUGAUAAGGAUGUCUAUGUGAUGAACUCACAUGGUGGCACUAG